UUGCUAGCCGCCGCGGUAAUACAGAGGGGGCAAGCGUUAUUCGGAAUUAUUGGGCGUAAAGGGCGCGUAGGCGGCUUGGCAAGUGGAUGGUGAAAUCCCUCGGCUUAACCGAGGAACUGCCAUCCAGACUGCUUUGCUUGAGGCCGGGAGAGGUGAGUGGAAUUCCCAGUGUAGCGGUGAAAUGCGUAGAUAUUGGGAGGAACACCAGUGGCGAAGGCGGCUCACUGGACCGGUUCUGACGCUGAGGCGCGAAAGCGUGGGGAGCAAACGGGAUUAGAUACCCGCGUAGUCC
rnacentral:rRNA from 1 species